GAUGAACGCUGGCGGCGUGCCUAAUACAUGCAAGUCGAGCGAACAGACGAGGAGCUUGCUCCUCUGACGUUAGCGGCGGACGGGUGAGUAACACGUGGAUAACCUACCUAUAAGACUGGGAUAACUUCGGGAAACCGGAGCUAAUACCGGAUAAUAUAUUGAACCGCAUGGUUCAAUAGUGAAAGACGGUUUUGCUGUCACUUAUAGAUGGAUCCGCGCCGCAUUAGCUAGUUGGUAAGGUAACGGCUUACCAAGGCAACGAUGCGUAGCCGACCUGAGAGGGUGAUCGGCCACACUGGAACUGAGACACGGUCCAGACUCCUACGGGAGGCAGCAGUAGGGAAUCUUCCGCAAUGGGCGAAAGCCUGACGGGGCAACGCCGCGUGAGUGAUGAAGGUCUUCGGAUCGUAAAACUCUGUUAUUAGGGAAGAACAAAUGUGUAAGUAACUAUGCACGUCUUGACGGUACCUAAUCAGAAAGCCACGGCUAACUACGU
rnacentral:rRNA from 1 species